GCCCCCGUAGCUCAGUGGAUAGAGCAUUUGCCUUCUAAGCAAAGGGCCGCACGUUCGAGCCGUGCCGGGGGCA
rnacentral:tRNA from 1 species